rfam:Drosophila pseudoobscura pseudoobscura strain MV2-25 chromosome XR unlocalized genomic scaffold ChXR_group8, whole genome shotgun sequence.
UUGCGUUUUUGUGAUGAGAUAGCAAUUACCUUGGGACACCUAUGAAAUGCCUUGAUUAGUGUAAAUUUUAACAACUGAACCA